rnacentral:rRNA from 1 species
GUGGAUUAGAUACCCUGGUAGUCCACGCCGUAAACGGUGGGCACUAGGUGUGGGACUCAUUCCACGAGUUCCGUGCCGAAGCUAACGCAUUAAGUGCCCCGCCUGGGGAGUACGGCCGCAAGGCUAAAACUCAAAGGAAUUGACGGGGGCCCGCACAAGCGGCGGAGCAUGCGGAUUAAUUCGAUGCAACGCGAAGAACCUUACCUGGGUUUGACAUAUACCGGAAAGCUGCAGAGAUGUAGCCCCCGCAAGGUCGGUAUACAGGUGGUGCAUGGCUGUCGCCAACU